rnacentral:rRNA from 1 species
UACGAAGGGGGCGAGCGUUGUUCGGAUUUACUGGGCGUAAAGAGCGCGCAGGCGGUCGUGCAAGUCGCGUGUGAAAGCCCCCCGGCUCAACUGGGGGAGGGUCACGCGAUACUGCUCGACUGGAAAGGCAGGAGAGGGAAGCAGAAUUCCCGGUGUAGUGGUGAAAAUGCGUAGAUAUCGGGAGGAAUACCAGUGCGAAGGCGGCUUCCUGGCCUGUUCUUGAC